GAUGAACGCUAGCGGCAGGCCUAACACAUGCAAGUCGCGGGGCAGCAAUAAAGUGGUUUACUACUUUUGGUGGCGACCGGCGGACGGGUGCGUAAAGCGUAUGCAACCUGCCUCCAACAGGGGGAUAACGGGGAGAAAUUUCCACUCAUACCCCAUAAUAUCACAAUUGGCAUCGGUUUUGGUUGAAAACUCCGGUGGGUGGCGAUGGGCAUGCGUUGGAUUAGAUAGUUGGUGAGGUAACGGCUCACCAAGUCAACGAUACAUAGGGGGACUGAGAGGUUAGCCCCCCACACUGGUACUGAGACACGGACCAGACUCCUACGGGAGGCAGCAUUGAGGAAUAUUGGUCAAUGGGGGCAACCCUGAACCAGCCAUGCCGCGUGCAGGAAGACGGCUCUAUGAGUUGUAAACUGCUUUUACAAGGGGAUAAAUCGGUGUACGUGUACACCGUUGAAGGUACCUUGGGAAUAAGGAUCGGCUAACUCCGUGCCAGCCGCCGCGGUAA
rnacentral:rRNA from 1 species